GACGAACGCUGUCGGCGUGCUUAACACAUGCAAGUCGAACGGAAAGGCCCUGCUUUUGUGGGGUGCCCGAGUGGCGAACGGGUGAGUAACACGUGAGUAACCUGCCCUUGACUUUGGGAUAACUUCAGGAAACUGGGGCUAAUACCGGAUAGGAGCUCCUGCUGCAUGGUGGGGGUUGGAAAGUUUCGGCGGUUGGGGAUGGACUCGCGGCUUAUCAGCUUGUUGGUGGGGUAGUGGCUUACCAAGGCUUUGACGGGUAGCCGGCCUGAGAGGGUGACCGGCCACAUUGGGACUGAGAUACGGCCCAGACUCCUACGGGAGGCAGCAGUGGGGAAUAUUGCACAAUGGGCGGAAGCCUGAUGCAGCAACGCCGCGUGCGGGAUGACGGCCUUCGGGUUGUAAACCGCUUUCGCCUGUGACGAAGCGUGAGUGACGGUAAUGGGUAAAGAAGCACCGGCUAACUACGUGCCAGCAGCCGCGGUGAUACGUAGGGUGCGAGCGUUGUCCGGAUUUAUUGGGCGUAAAGGGCUCGUAGGUGGUUGAUCGCGUCGGAAGUGUAAUCUUGGGGCUUAACCCUGAGCGUGCUUUCGAUACGGGUUGACUUGAGGAAGGUAGGGGAGAAUGGAAUUCCUGGUGGAGCGGUGGAAUGCGCAGAUAUCAGGAGGAACACCAGUGGCGAAGGCGGUUCUCUGGGCCUUUCCUGACGCUGAGGAGCGAAAGCGUGGGGAGCGAACAGGCUUAGAUACCCUGGUAGUCCACGCUGUAAACGGUGGGUACUAGGUGUGGGGUCCAUUCCACGGGUUCCGUGCCGUAGCUAACGCUUUAAGUACCCCGCCUGGGGAGUACGGCCGCAAGGCUAAAACUCAAAGGAAUUGACGGGGCCCCGCACAAGCGGCGGAGCAUGCGGAUUAAUUCGAUGCAACGCGUAGAACCUUACCUGGGUUUGACAUGGAUCGGGAGUGCUCAGAGAUGGGUGUGCCUCUUUUGGGGUCGGUUCACAGGUGGUGCAUGCCUGUCGUCAGCUCGUGUCGUGAGAUGUUGGGUUAAGUCCCGCAACGAGCGCAACCCUUGUUCACUGUUGCCAGCACGUUAUGGUGGGGACUCAGUGGAGACCGCCGGGGUCAACUCGGAGGAAGGUGGGGAUGACGUCAAGUCCUCAUGCCCCUUAUGUCCAGGGCUUCACGCAUGCUACAAUGGCUGGUACAGAGAGUGGCGAGCCUGUGAGGGUGAGCGAAUCUCGGAAAGCCGGUCUCAGUUCGGAUUGGGGUCUGCAACUCGACCUCAUGAAGUCGGAGUCGCUAGUAAUCGCAGAUCAGCAACGCUGCGGUGGAUACGUUCCCGGGGCU
rnacentral:rRNA from 1 species